GUCACACCUUUACAAAAGCUUCGGCGGCGUAAUGAAAAUAUUGAAAAUUACCACUUAAAUUGACUAAUUCAAGAAUUGAAAGCAUGUGAAUUACAGUACAAAAACAGGACAGUAAGUACCGAACAGACUUCAUGCAACUCUUGCUGCCCACCAUGCGGUCUGUCCCAUUUCUUUGAUGAUCAUUUUGAAAAUGAAAUAAAUUUCUUCUGUUUUUAGGCCGCUGGCGAGGUCUGCUGCUUGGUAGGAGAGUUGAAUGGCACGCAAAUAAGCGAACUGUGUGGAACGAUGCACUUUGGUGGUCCACAUCAAUGUGCAGUUCGAGGAGUCCGAGAAGGAGAGCGACAUAGAGCAAAAAAUGCACAUUAAUUACAGAUAAUGUGAGUAUACAUGCGGUACAUUGAUAUAGUUUAUGGGUAAUCUGGUGUGUGAUUCUUACUCAACAGUUAGCCAAUGAAGAAGCUGGCAGCAAUGCGAAGAAAGAACGCAACCAUCAGCCCCUGGAAGUCGAUGUCUACGGCACGAGAGUUACAGGGAUGCCAUGAUUGCGCAGGGAAAGUCGGCCUAUGCACUUUCAGGAUGAAGUGAGCUUUCCUUUUAUAAAAUUGAGUAAAACAGAUGCCCCAGCCGUACCCUGCAGCCCUUGAUGGAUUCAAAUGAUACAAGAGACUCCCGCUAGCGAUGAGACAUGGCUCGUCCUGAUCCGACAGAAAACAGCAGAGCUAUAGCGUUGUCAAAAAUGUUUUAAACAAAAUGUUAAAAUGUCAUUAUCCUUAAUGUCCUUGCAUCGAAAGUGAUUGCAAACGACGCAAGGCAUUGUCUCAAUCACAAGAAGGCGCGGCAUGUUUUUAUCGGCCUUCAAAUAAAGUAUAAAAGUGUUGUGUUGAAUUUAUGCUGUACAAAAAAAGUUGUUUUUGUUGUACGGCAACUGCAUAGUUUGCACUGUA
rnacentral:lncRNA from 1 species